UUUGCCCGUGGAGGCACUGCAGGUGUGGCUGCUGUGUCACAUGUGUGUCAGUAGGUGGCAGAGAGGAAAGAGGUUAUUUCUACACUCAAGUGUUCUGAUCUGUGACAAACUGAAUGCUUAGUAGCCUAACAUU
ensembl:snoRNA LOC120095746 small nucleolar RNA SNORA17